AACGAACGCUGGCGGCAUGCCUAACACAUGCAAGUCGAACGAGACCUUCGGGUCUAGUGGCGCACGGGUGCGUAACGCGUGGGAAUCUGCCCUUGGGUUCGGAAUAACAGCGAGAAAUUGCUGCUAAUACCGGAUGAUGACGUAAGUCCAAAGAUUUAUCGCCCAAGGAUGAGCCCGCGUAGGAUUAGCUAGUUGGUGAGGUAAAGGCUCACCAAGGCGACGAUCCUUAGCUGGUCUGAGAGGAUGAUCAGCCACACUGGGACUGAGACACGGCCCAGACUCCUACGGGAGGCAGCAGUGGGGAAUAUUGGACAAUGGGCGAAAGCCUGAUCCAGCAAUGCCGCGUGAGUGAUGAAGGCCUUAGGGUUGUAAAGCUCUUUUACCCGGGAUGAUAAUGACAGUACCGGGAGAAUAAGCUCCGGCCAACUCCGUGCCAGCAGCCGCGGUAAU
rnacentral:rRNA from 1 species